AGAGAAGCCUGGCUUUACUCUCAAAAAGUUUCAUGUGCACACAACGUGGCCGCACAGGGCAAAUACAUCGCCAUUGCCAGCACCGCUGUAGAGACUGCAGAACCAGAAAAGGAAGUUGAGCCUGCAUUGGAGCUGUUAGAACCCACUGACCAGAAGUUUGUGGCUAUCAGUGAUUUAUAUGAGCCCAUUGAUGAUGGUUCAGAGUCAAGUGUUCUGUUCCUGCUCCUGUGAUGCUACCACACACUUUGAGACAACCUGCAAUGACAUCAAAGAUAUCUAGACAUGCACGGCUGGUUCUGCCUUUGAUUUUGAGAACAUGAAGCGCAAACAGAAUGAUGUCUUUGGAGAAGCUGAUCAGUGA
rnacentral:lncRNA from 1 species